rnacentral:rRNA from 1 species
UACGGAGGGGGCUAGCGUUGUUCGGAAUUACUGGGCGUAAAGCGCACGUAGGCGGCUUUGCAAGUUGGAGGUGAAAGCCCGGGGCUCAACUCCGGAAUUGCCUUUAAAACUGCAUCGCUAGAAUUGUGGAGAGGUAAGUGGAAUUCCGAGUGUAGAGGUGAAAUUCGUAGAUAUUCGGAAGAACACCAGUGGCGAAGGCGGCUAUCUGGACCGUAACUGACGCUGAGGCGCGAAAGCGUGGGGAGCAAACAGG